UUUGGUGGCGAUAGCGAAGAGGUCACACCCGUUCCCAUACCGAACACGGAAGUUAAGCUCUUCAGCGCCGAUGGUAGUCGGGGGUUUCCCCCUGUAAGAGUAGGACGCCGCCAAGC
rnacentral:rRNA from 1 species